UACUCUCACACACCCCUCGGGGGGCCGAGAAGCUACAGUUUGUGUUUCUAACACCCCUCACAGGUUUCUUGAGCCUAGCUUUCACACCACGUGGUGGGAGGAUCGCGGCAAGGCUGGCAAUCACCAGAAUCCAGAGGCACUGGUGAUUCACAGGUCUUCUGAGUUCUUGAAUCAUCUUCAAAUUGUUCUGAGGAGUUCUCCUGCUGCUCUAAAGCCCUCCCAGAUACGCUGCGGGGUGAAGGUGGAAGCAAGACAGGGAAGCACCACUGUUGAAAUACUCUCGAUUUUCUCCGUGAAUUUAUAGGAGUUUUAUCUGGUCUGGAGCUGGGGGAAGGAGGAAAAACUAGCUCUGGCUGACAACCAGUCACUUCCUAAAUUAUUCUGUCUUAAGCCUUGGCGGGAGGAAACAAGUGAAAUGUUUAAUUAUAAGGAUUCAUUGAUUCAUUUGGAUCCUUGAGAACAUUUUAUAAAAAAAACCACUGCUGGUCACUUGAAUUGUAUCAAUUGAGAAAAUUACUUACAAAAAAUAAUUAAUGAACGAGACAAUAGAUACAUCAUUAAUCAGGGCGUAUCAGAAUUUCUGUUUCCUGAGUCUAAGACAAGUUUGUGUGAAGUUUCCUCAUUCAGCCCCAAGGAAACCAACAAGAUCUGGAAACCAUGUGUCAGCAUUCUUCCGCAUGUUGCAUUUUCGGUCAUGCAGAAGGACUGAAUUCUGUGUCUUGAUCAACCGAAGUGCAAAGACAUAAACAGCCGUGGGAGAUGAGACGCAAGUCAGAAUCGCAAAGGAGCAGGAACCAUGAGCCAGGCGUGACACAGAAACCUAAGUCCUCACAGGCACAGAAAUCCUGUCGGAAGAUUUGAUAAAGGAGGCAGCACGAGCAGCUGAAUUCCACACAUCUGAUUUUGCUGUUUUUGAGACAGGGAGCACGGGAACAAGCCCCAGGUGAAAAACAUUAUGCACCGGGGCGCGUUCCAUUGGAUGUUAUUGUUACACCGCUACGCCUACAAAGCAGAACCAGAACGUGGCCCCAGAUACAAAACGGACUUAGAACGGAGGACUCCGGGUCCAAAAAGCACUAUUGAGCUGCCUGAAUUACCUGCCAAUAUAGACCAAUCAGGACGCAGCACUUCCCCCAUCUUUUCCUCAUUAACAUAAUAGAAGGGAGUGGGAAGGGGAGUGGGAGAUUUCUCCACACAGGUGGGACCUCCCCUUUGUAACUACUUUGCUGGUGCUGCGUGGGCCUUCAGCUGGAGCUCUAGUCCCGAUAAGGCCUUGCCUGUACCUUUGAUUUUUGGCACUGGUUUCAUCCUCGUGGGGCCCAACAACCCAACUCAGGUAACGUUUCCUGUAUCAUUUAGUUCAAUUUAAUGUCUAACCUCUAUUGUGAUUUCUUGUUUGACCCAUAUAGGUUGUGCAGAAGUGACUUGCUUAAUUUACA